CUACGUGCCAGCAGCCGCGGUAAUACGUAGGUCCCGAGCGUUGUCCGGAUUUAUUGGGCGUAAAGCGAGCGCAGGCGGUUAGAUAAGUCUGAAGUUAAAGGCUGUGGCUUAACCAUAGUACGCUUUGGAAACUGUUUAACUUGAGUGCAAGAGGGGAGAGUGGAAUUCCAUGUGUAGCGGUGAAAUGCGUAGAUAUAUGGAGGAACACCGGUGGCGAAAGCGGCUCUCUGGCUUGUAACUGACGCUGAGGCUCGAAAGCGUGGGGAGCAAACAGGAUUAGAUACCCUGGUAGUCCACGCCGUAAACGAUGAGUGCUAGGUGUUAGACCCUUUCCGGGGUUUAGUGCCGCAGCUAACGCAUUAAGCACUCCGCCUGGGGAGUACGACUGCAAGGUUGAAACUCAAAGGAAUUGACGGGGGCCCGCACAAGCGGAGGAACAUGUGGUUUAAUUCGAUGAUACGCGAGGAACCUUACCCGGGCUUGAAAUGC
rnacentral:rRNA from 1 species